rnacentral:rRNA from 1 species
CGCGUAGGCGGUUCGUACAGUCAGACGUGAAAUUCCCGGGCUCAACCUGGGGGCUGCGUUUGAUACGUACGGGCUUGAGUUCGGAAGAGGGUCGUGGAAUUCCCAGUGUAGAGGUGAAAUUCGUAGAUAUUGGGAAGAACACCGGUGGCGAAGGCGGCGACCUGGUCCGAUACUGACGCUGAGGCGCGAAAGCGUGGGGAGCAAACAGGAUUAGAUACCCUGGUAGUCCACGCUGUAAACGAUGUGUGCUGGAUGUUGGGCAGUCUGACUGUUCAGUGUCGUAGCUAACGCGAUAAGCACACCGCCUGGGGAGUACGGCCGCAAGGUUGAA